rnacentral:lncRNA from 1 species
AUGGCUCCAGCCUUCCCGAGCACCCCUCGCUCGGGUGUCCCGCAGCAAGGGGAACCCGCCCGGGACCCAGCCCAACCGCGCUCUGCCCCGCGGGGCUCACCUGGCAGGCGCGGCACGAGCAGGAGGCGGCGCGAGCAGGAGGCAGCGCGAGCGGGGGGCGGCGGCGCGGCGGCGGUCAGCGCGUCCGAGGUCCGGCCGGCCUCUGCGUUCUCCUCCUCCUCGGCAGCCGCGGCUCUUCCAGGUGAAUCAGCCCAGCUUUGGACCCAAAACUCUGAAAUUGACUCAAUGGUAAGCAGUUCCGGUAUUUCCAUAACUCAAAGAUGAAAACCGCAUGUCUUCCAAGGUCAGCAGACUAUAAUUUACCUAGAGUUCCCCUUUCUUGUGAUUUGCUUGGUAGACCACAUCACCAUCUCAGAUGAGUUCCUCUCUUCCCCUGUUUGAUAAUCUGACUUUGACCCCCAGACCGCACCAGCUUGUUGGCCAGGUGGGGGACAGACACAGCAGCAGGUGGUAUGAAUUGGGGUUGCCAGUGCAUUUGGUGCUUCUGGUUUAGGUGGUAGGUGGGCCUGAGUAGGAGACGGUGGGAACUGAAGGCUGAGGAAUCCACGGCCACCUCAGGUUUAGGAAUUUCUGACAGCUUCUUGGUCUAGUGGGGCAAGAGAACCCAACUUCUAGUGUAGCAGGUUGGGUAGGGCUUGGGAAACUAAGCAUGUGUUUUAACUGUGCUGAUGUCACUUUAGGGAUGUAAAGUCUUGUGUUGCAUCAUGCAGGUCAGACACAGGUUAUAGCUCUGAGGCCAGACCAGCCAUAGGGUGAUCAACCAUUUCCAUGUACCUAGGGCUGAAGGCUUUCCCUGAGUGCAGGACUUAAGAGGGCUGAAAGUGGGACAACUCUGGGUAAACUGGGAUAGUUGGUCACCCUACCCUUGAGGCUCUCCUAACAUUUAAUUCUGCCAUUUCUAGGAAGGUAGGAAAAGCUAGUUUAAAACGUGUUGAUUUUGGCGGUGCCUGGGAGGCUCAGUCAAUUAAGCGUCGAACUCCUGAUCUCAGCUCUAGUCAUGGUCUCAUUGUUUGUGAGUUUGAGCCCCAUGUAGCGCUCUGUGCUGAUGGCCUGGAGCGUGCUUGGGAUUCUGUCUCCUUCUCUCUGCCCCUCCCCACUCAUUAUCUCUCUCUCUAUCUCUCAAAAUAAAUAAACUUAAAAACAUUUUGGUUUACAGGGGUGCCUGGGUGUCUCAGUCGAUUAAGCAUCCAACUUCAGCUCAGGUCAUGAUCUCAUGGUUCAUGGGUUCAAGCCCCGAGUCGGGCUCUGUGCUGAUAGCUCAGAGCCUGAGCCUGCUUUCAAUUCUGUGUCUCUCCCUCUUCUCUGUCCCUCCCCCUCUUGCAUUCCAUCUCUCUCAAAAAUAAAUAAACAUUUAAAAAAGUUAAAAAAAUUUUUUUGUUUAUUUUGCUUUCCAAAUCCUAGUCUCCCAAACAUUAAAACAUCCUGAGCCAUCUGCAGAGGUAAUAAUCACAAAGGGACAACAGGCAGUCCCAGGGAUAAGUGUGGAAGAGGGAUAGAGCUGUCCCAACAACUGUGCCUUGGAGAUUGAAGGAACAGUAGACGGAGGCCUUUUGCAUGAUUGGUUGUAUGGGAGCCUCAAUGAUUAGUAGUAUUAUUUUGUUACCAGCUCCUUGCUGUCUGCUGAAGUCACUGCCCAUGCCUGGUAUUCCAGGAGGCAGGAGGGAGAGAAUCAUCCAUCAUAGAAGACAGGAUAAGAUGCUUUGUAGAUCUUACACUCAGUCCUUAGAAUUACUUUCAUCUCAGGUAUGUGAGUUUCGGAGAGGUGUCUCAUCUCUCAAAUAUCAAUGGAUGAUUUUGAUUUUAUUUUAUUUAUUUUAUUAUUUUAUCUUAUUUUUAUUUUUUAU